rnacentral:tRNA from 1 species
AAGGGUGAUGUGGUAUAUUAGAAAGUUGCUAUUUUUUUGAUAUUGAGUUCGACUCUCGAUGGCUCUUG